GAGGAGCAGUCAUUCUCAAAUACCACAGCUUCGAAGAGGAUCCCUUCUGACAGUAACAUACCACUGCACAAAGCAGGCUCACUGAGGGAACUGGAAAACUGUUCAGUUCUGUGGCUUUUACGGGCCAUGUAGACAGAGGAAGGGGGCUAAGAUGUGUAAGGGAAUCAAAACCAUUUCAUUUCUCUUUGUGCUUACUGGCCAGCCGUGUCUCCUCUUCUGUGACUGCUCCUGUACUCUGCCCAUUUAUCUCCACAUGAUUUGAAGAACAGCAGAGAUCUUAGAACGAUCUACUUCAGUGAUUCUCAAGAGAAAAGAAACACUCUCCCCUGGGAGUGCACAGAAAAAUUACCUCAGGGACUUUUUUUUUUUUUUUUUUUUUUUUGAGACAGAGUCUCGCUCUGUCGCCCAGGCUGGAGUACAGUGGUGCGAUCUUGUCUCACUGCAAGCUCCACCUCCCGGGUUCACACCAUUCUCCUGCCUCAGCCUCCCGAGUAGCUGGGGCUACAAGCGCCCACCACCAUGCCCGGCUAAUUUUUUGUAUUUUUAGUACAGACGGGGUUUCACCGUGUUAGCCAGGACGGUCUCGAUCUCCUCACCUUGUGAUCCGUCCGCCUCGGCCUCCCAGGGAGCUGGGAUUACAGGCGUGAACCACCGCGUACGCCGCAUUCUUUUAUUUUUUUAUUUUUAUUUAUUUAUUUAUUUUGGGAUGGAGUCUCGCUCUGUCGCCCGGGCUGGAGUGCAGUGGUGCGAUCUCGGCUCACUGCAAGCUCCGCCUCCUGGGUUCAUGACAUUCUCCUGCCUCAGCCUCCCUAGUAGCUGGGACUACAGGCGCCCGCGACCACGCCCGGCUAAUUUUUUUGUAUUUUUUAGUAGAGACGGGGUUUCACCAUGUUAGCCAGGAUGGUCUCGAUCUCCUGACCUCGUGAUCCACCCACCUCGGCCUCCCAAAGUGCUGGGAUUACAGGCGUGAGCUCAGGGACUUUUUUAAAAGGACUUCCAAUGCCAUGCCCUUUCUCCCUCUCCUGGCCACUGAGAUGUAUUCCCAUAGGGACAGUCAAGACCCUAUGGAAACACUGCUAUGGAUGAGGGUCCUAAGGAACGGAAACAGCUGAGAAUCAUGGAUCUAAUGAAACUCCUUCAUUGUAGAGAUGAAGACACUGAAGCCUUGGAGGCUCACAUGACUUAACACCGACAACUGACUUAUUGUCGGGUCACCCUGCACACCCAGGCCUAGUGCCCCCUCCAUCCAGCCGCAUGGCUCUGCCUGACGGUUCUGUUUAUCCAAUGGGAAGGCAUUCAUGUCAAACAGCCUUUGUGUUAAAGCAGGAAGCUCUGUGCUGGAUGACAAGGUCAGGGUUUUUAAGGUCCCCAAACAAAAUACAACUUUCUACGAAAUAAUGUAAAAUCAGCAUUUGCCUUCAACUGCUCAAGGAACUGGGUGAUUGGCCAUGCCAGAUGGUAUGGCUCUCACUUGCCGCAACACCUACUGGAGGCUAACAGAGCAAGGCAACACAGAGAGGCUGAGCUUGGGAAACAAGCAAGUGAAGACACAAGAUCUGCUUCUGCGGUUCACUGCUCUUGCUCUGACUGUCAAUGAGAGGGAAGUGGGAACUGAGAAAAGAAAGUGGGCGUACUACUGGACGUGGUAGUUUCGUCAUGAAUGGGGGAAGUUCUGGGAGCAGGCACAGUGUAUGCCUGGCAUUGUGAUUAUUUCUGAAAGGAUGUAUCUUAUGGAUCACUAGUGCAAUCCUAGAACAGCUGGCUAUCCCAGAGAGUAAGCGCCAGCAUACUCCCUCCACACAGCUAUUUUUAUUUUGUGAAUGCAGGAACAAAAAAAGUAGUGUGGAUAAAUUCAAAACAGAGGAAAUCAGGCUGUGCAAAAAAUGUGUCAUUUAAAGACUAUCUCCAGGAAGCAGAAGAGAAGAAGCAGGAAGGGGUACAUAUAUGUAAUUAGUGGGAUGGAUGAAUUACCGGAACUUGUCAGGUGUUGAAGAGCCCUUGCCAAAUACUAGUGAAGUAAUUGUGUAUUUCUAGGUUUGAUUGCUUCUUUCAAUUGGAAGUCAGGUUAUCAGUGAAUCUGUAUACUCCCCCAGCUGUGUUCUGAUAUGAGUGUGUGUGUACACUCAUAUGUGUAUGUGUGCUAAAUGAAGAGGGAGUUAAAGGGAAGCAAAGAACAAGCUGAGAAAAUUGGCAAUUGUUGAACUUAAAUGUCAGGCCUUGGGUUAGAGAAGUAUCCUGUAAAACAGCAAUUAUUAAUCCUAUUGUAUACAUCAAAACAUCAGAGGUUCAGAGAAGUUAAUAAAAUUAUUCAAGCUGUCCCAGCUAAUAAAUGGUAACACAGUGCUUCACACCCGGAGCUCUGCUCCAAAACCUAUAUCCUUCCUACUGCCUGAUGCUUCUGCCCCAAAGAAGGCCUUCCAUGAAUAUUUGUUGAAUGACUGAACAAAGGAAUUCAUAUGUCUCAGAAUAUUCUCAUUUUUCUUUCAUCAAGAUUAUGAAAAUUGUACUCCUUGAACUAAAAAACAGCAAUGGUGUUUCCAGAAAUGCAGUACAGUUAAAGGUAAUAGGUUAUUUAAAUCAUCUAUUAAUGAAUUAACUAAGAAUUGCCUAAUCAAAGCCAUGACUUAAGGUUAUUAUAGUAUCUUUCACCAAACAAGUGUAAAUGGGUUGGUGGAUUGAGACCUAAUUUUACAGUAUGGUCGUGUUGCAGUUCUAGGUUAAACUCUGUUCAGUCCCUAUUUCAAAAAUCACAUCAUUCCACGGUCUCAUCUCCUUCAUGACUUAAAGUCAUGCUUGAAACAUACUGGCUAAUUUAACACAAAUUGCUACCUAAAGAAGACACUAACCUACAGAAAUAACAGCUAUUCUGCAAACUUCCAAAACAACUGGUCUAGGAUUUCAGAAAAUGACA
rnacentral:lncRNA from 1 species